rnacentral:rRNA from 1 species
UACGUAGGGUGCGAGCGUUGUCCGGAAUUAUUGGGCGUAAAGAGCUCGUAGGCGGUCUGUCGCGUCGAUCGUGAAAACUUGGGGCUUAACCCUGAGCUUGCGGUCGAUACGGGCAUGACUGGAGUUCGGCAGGGGAGACUGGAAUUCCUGGUGUAGCGGUGAAAUGCGCAGAUAUCGGGAGGAACACCAACGGCGAAGGCAGCACUCUGGGCUGGAACUGACGCUGAGGAGCGAAAGCGUGGGUAGCAAACAGG